CAGUAGCCGCGGGAAUACGUAGGUGGCAAGCGUUGUCCGGAUUUAUUGGGCGUAAAGCGAGCGCAGGCGGUUUCUUAAGUCUGAUGUGAAAGCCCCCGGCUCAACCGGGGAGGGUCAUUGGAAACUGGGAGACUUGAGUGCAGAAGAGGAGAGUGGAAUUCCAUGUGUAGCGGUGAAAUGCGUAGAUAUAUGGAGGAACACCAGUGGCGAAGGCGGCUCUCUGGUCUGUAACUGACGCUGAGGCUCGAAAGCGUGGGGAGCAAACAGGAUUAGAUACCCCCGUAGUCCCUGUCUCUUAUAC
rnacentral:rRNA from 1 species